AACGAAACGCUGGCGGUAUGCUUAACACAUGCAAGUUGAACGAACAUUUGGGGCUUGCUCCAAAUAGUGAGUGGCAAACGGGUGAGUAAACACGUGGGAAUCUACCCAUCAGUACGGAAUAGCAUUUGGAAACAGAUGAUAAUACCGUAUAUUCUCGUAAGAGGAAAGAUUUAUCGCUGAUGGAUGAGCCCGCGCCUGAUUAGGUAGUUGGUGGGGUAAUGGCCUACCAAGCCUUCGAUCAGUAGCUGGUCUGAGAGGAUGAUCAGCCACACUGGGACUGAGACACGGCCCAGACUCCUACGGGAGGCAGCAGUGGGGAAUAUUGGACAAUGGGCGAAAGCCUGAUCCAGCAAUACCGCGUGAAUGAUGAAGGCCUUAGGGUUGUAAAGUUCUUUUAAGCAGGGAAGAUAAUGACGGUACCUGCAGAAAAAGCCCCGGCUAA
rnacentral:rRNA from 1 species